GGGUCGGCAAGGGCCCGCCAAGGAAGGAGCGACCGACCGAACCAGGCGCCCUCCGCAGACCUCAGCGCAGCGGCUGCGGGCGCGAGGGGAGGGGUCUCGAGCUCCCUCCGGCUGCCGGUCCCGCACCGGAGCUCGUGGGGUGGGGAGGUGUGCAGCCUGUGACAGACAGGGGCUUAGAGAUGCAAACAGACUCAGGGAGAGAAACAGAAGCUGGUUCUGUGACAGAAGCAGAUCUGUGCAGCACAGAUGCGGUGUGCGUGGGGAGGGGGUCGCUUGGGAGCGCAUUGCGGAGUGCUUGUGUGUGCAGAAUUUUCUCUGGGCUCAGGACUCAUUGUAUGUGGGUCGACACUUUCCUCCGUGACUGUGUUUUUGUUCUGAGCUGAGUUUUUUGAUUUGCUCUUAAAAAAAAUAAUAAUUUGGCAUCCAGAGACUGGCAGACUGCCUCAGGGCCUGGACUGCGGAUAUAUUGUGUUCUGCUUGAGGUUUGGGGAGGAGGGCAGGCGGUUGGAAGGGAGAGGGGGAGCUGUUUGUCACCCUUUGCUGUAGAGCUGAGAACACCUGACAAGCUUAAGGAAGUCGCUAGGCUGUGUGGACAAGAAGGAGCCAGUUCCCAGCGGGUUCACAAGCUCCAUGGGAGCUGAAAGCCUGGCCAUGGCUCUAAGGAGCACCUCACGCCCUCCCUGUAGCUGUUAUUGCAGUUUCAGGCAGAGAUCCAGGAGCUGCAGAGGAAGGGAGAGGCACAAUAACCUACAUGGACCCCAGGGAGACAUGUGUUCCUUUAAAAAUGUGAACAGAAGGAAAAACAGAAUGUGUGCAAGUGGGGGUCUGAGGAAAGACUGUUUUGAAAGAGGCUGUCAGGGAAUGGAAAGGGUUAAGUUUUUCAUCCUGAAGAACCUGCUUCCCAAAUCAGGCCUUCCUCCCAUCACUAGACCCUGAGCAGCAGCUGGUCCUAGAGACCCCCCUCGUACUGCGCUGCCACAAUCUCAUCCCAUUUCCAGCUCUGUAUUAACCACCAAGCUGCAGCGGAUGGGGCAAGACCUAAGCUCAUUAAUUUCCAGGUGGAGGAAAUGGAGGAGGGGCAGGUCCCUGCAGUAGAGGGAGGAGCAGAGAAAGGAGGCCAAGAGCUGGAUCCUUCUGCCCAGGAAGCCUGCUGCAUCCCUUCCCCCAGUAUGGCAGAGGCCUGGCUUUGCAAGGCCAAGGCCAUAAGGGAUGUUUAGGAGAUUAAUUUGAUUCCUGACACAGUAAUCAAGGCCUAAGAGUCUCCACUGAAGCUUACUGAGGACUUCUUUCCUCUCCAAAGCCUCAGUCUAGCCUGCUAAAUCAAUUAGUAUUCAGUGAUGCCUUGGAUCAGGGCCCCUCCCUGGCCUCAGUUCCCCCAAAUAUUUAUUGAGUACCUACUAUGUGCAGUCCUUGUGUAAUUUUUACCUCUUAGGCUCUUCAUUUGCCCUCCUAAGGCAGUGUUUAGAGUCAAGCAGAGGUUAAAUGUGUAGCACCCCACCUAGAUACUUCCAGAACCUUCUCUGGGUCUGCAGAAUGUGGCACAACCUGCUUGCCCCUGCAGAGAGAAAGCUGCAGUGCACAUCUUGCAGACUGCAGGUGCUGGGCUGCCUCUGGAGACCCAGAAGGCAAGCUUGGCUGCAGGACAGAAAGGGAAAACAGCUUCUGUCACCCCUGAACCGUAACAAGCCUUGUCUAUUUGCCAUUGCCUUCAAAAGAUACCUCCCCUGAAACUAGUAGCUUUCUGAGUUCUGGUGUCCCCUUCGCCCUUUCUGGACAGGUUUGGGAAGAAGAAAGCAGUCAGUGCUGGGCCUUGUUGGGGUGUAAAGCCCCUUGCUCUGCCCCCUCUGCUCACUGUGAAGGCUGCUGGAUGCUUCUUUUAGGCAUGGUUUAAGCCUCUGAUUACUAACCCCCUUGCCCCACAAAUGUCCACAUUGACAAGCCUCUUUUUGGUAAUUGCUUCCCCGUAAUUCCUUCAGAGGUUGCUGUACCCUUCACGGAUGUGCCCUCCGGUAAAAUCUCCGGAUGCCUUCCCACGUAAUGCCCCUUUCAGAUGCUUUAAGCUGAGAGCUUAAACCGCAGGUACCAUGGCUGACGCCUGCUAGGUUUCUGCUGUGGAUAAUCUAUGAUGGGAGGGGCAUAUUUUUUACUUCAUUACUUAUGUAAACUCUUGUUCCAGAAAGCUUUAAUGUGUGUGGGAGUGUUCUGGGUCUACUAGGUCUGUGUGCAAGGGUGUGGGCAUUUGCCUGUGUCCACUGGGUGGGUCUCAUUACAAAAUGUAUGUUUAUGUAGGGCUUUAAUGGUCGAAAAUGGCAAAGAGACCAAUGGACCACUUGGUCCUGUGUAUAAUUGCCAGGCUCCUUCUGUGCUCGAAUAAGGUGUCCAAGUGAAGGUCAGCCUUCUGUAUUUGGGGCCUAUUGAUGCCACCAGUAAUUUUACAAGAAACCUGGAUAUUUCUCCCCUUUGAGGGCAUUUAACUCUUUAACAUCUUCUCUCUUAUUACCUAUUUGAGCCCCUCUAGCUACAGUCUAUGGCUUAAAUGAAAGGGGAAUUAUAUGGUCAAGAAAAAGUAGGACAAGGUUGAGGCAGUUUGCUGACUGAAUAUGUGAAGAAGGCUCUGAUGGGCUCAUAUGCACCGCCGCCAUCACAGUCCUCAACGUGAUGCAAGCUUAUACGAUUUUUUGGAAACAGCCCAGAUCUCCGCUUAAGCGGAAAAGAGAUUGACCUUCUAACAGAGGCAAAGAAUGGAGUCUUUUGGGGGCAGCUGCAAAGCAUUCUCCCUAGGACAGAUGGAGCCUCCCUUUCCUCAUCUACUCUGUGGGUGGUUUCAGGGCCCAUGAGUCAACAUGAGGAGUUGUGCUGGUGGUAUGUGUGUUGGAGGCUGGGCUGGCUGAUUCACAGUGACGAGGAUGUCAAUAAUAACAAUAAUGAGAAUGAUGGUACCCAAUAAAGACUUUUUUCCCCAAA